AAAUUGAAGAGUUUGAUCAUGGCUCAGAUUGAACGCUGGCGGCAGGCCUAACACAUGCAAGUCGAACGGUAACAGAAAGCAGCUUGCUGCUUUGCUGACGAGUGGCGGACGGGUGAGUAAUGUCUGGGAAACUGCCCGAUGGAGGGGGAUAACUACUGGAAACGGUAGCUAAUACCGCAUAACGUCGCAAGACCAAAGAGGGGGACCUUAGGGCCUUUUGCCAUCGGAUGUGCCCAGAUGGGAUUAGCUAGUAGGUGGGGUAA
rnacentral:rRNA from 3 species